rnacentral:rRNA from 1 species
UACGAAGGGGGCUAGCGUUGUUCGGAAUUACUGGGCGUAAAGCGCGCGCAGGCGGUCUUCCAAGUCAGUGGUGAAAGCCCGGAGCUCAACUCCGGAACUGCCAUUGAAACUGUUAGACUUGAGGAUGAGAGAGGUGAGUGGAAUUCCCAGUGUAGAGGUGAAAUUCGUAGAUAUUGGGAAGAACACCGGUGGCGAAGGCGGCUCACUGGCUCAUUUCUGACGCUCAGGCGCGACAGCGUGGGGAUCAAACGGG